GCUGCUCCUUAGCUUAAAAACAUGCUCUUAAGUUUAAAUCAUUCAGGCCCAUGUUCUUGUUGAUGAAACAAUUCUACAGCCUGCAAACACCAUAUCUUGCAAAUACCAUAUCCUAUGAGAAAUAAUUAUUUCCUUUGCCAUUUUGGUUCAAAACUAUAAAUAACGGCUAUAUACAUGUUAUUUUGCUAAAGAUUUACGAAAGCAUACCUAGAGUCUAUGCUGAAACUUUUAACUACUAUCGGCCGCAGGUUGAAGAACAAGAAAGCUAUUCUCCGGUCUAGGAGUAGAAGAGCAUGCCUAAAGUCUUAACAGACCGACUUCUUUAAAACAACUACCCUCAUUGAUUAGACUUGACUGCAGUCCGGUUCAGACUCGAAACUGGAUCAGACCAGGGAAACCCGUAACUGGAAUUAGUCUACUUUUCCGGUCCUGGUUCUGGUUGCACCACUAGCCACCAGAUCCGGAACUGGACUGGUGGCUCUGGUUCCAGUUUGGAACCUUUUAAGAGAAACAGCUGGCAGCAACUGCUACAUUUGUUAUAUAGUUAAAGUAUUAUUUUUACUGUACAAGAAUAUCUUUUUAGCUGAACAAGUCAUGUAGACUAAUAACUACAAGAUAAAACUUUUUGGUGAACAAGACUAAUAAUGGCUACAUAUGCCUUGGUUAGCUGUUCUUAGUCUUGCAUUAAAUAUUGGUUGACUGCCUGUCUUGUUUUAGCGUUGAUAUCAAUUUCCAUGUUUCCAUUCAUGCAGUGUUGCAGCAACAAAAACUCCUAUUGUAUUUAUUGGAAGAGGAGAUUAUUUACAUGAGUUUGAAAUGUUUGACAUUAAACCAUUUGUUAGUCGCCUUUUAGGCUGGAGUGACUUUCUUGGAUAUAAGAAGGAUCUUCAUAUGUAUCAACAGCCUGAACUUCUCUCACAAGGAUAUACAUUAAGAACUAGAAUGUGUGCCAAUGCUCAGUCAUGAGGAUAACAGAAAGAAGCGUAACUCACAACGAUGAAAAGCUCUGAUAUGUUGUCGAAUGUCUAUCUGUAGAUAGAAAAAAUUAUGUUAGAUCUCAGGAUGGUAAUUCACCACAUGUGAUUUGCUUUUGGAUUUUCUUUUUUAUUAUUAUCAAUGUGAAAGAUUGUCAGUGAACAUUGCAAUGCGGCUAGAGGCAGUGCAGACAUAUGAGAAACGAUCUUUGAAGCUCUACAAUGCAUGACCUCUCUCUUCCAGGAUCUGUUAAAUCGAUUUAUGUCAAAAGGGUGGGAGGAUAAACGGCAAAAAAAUUAUAAGCGUAAAAUAGCCAUUAUGAAUUCAAUUACAAAC